GCGGGAGUGCCGGAGUCUGGAAAACGGGCAGGAACAAGUUUCUAUUUGAAAUUGUUGCCAAACUUAAGUUUUCCACAAGAAGACAUCCUGUGGCUUAGUGCCUACGCAGGUUCAAAUCCUGUCUCCCGCA
rnacentral:tRNA from 1 species